GCCAAACUAAGAGAGGUGCGUACCAGUCUACAGCGGCGUUGUACCUUCACUACCAGACUUGACUAGGAGACCGACCAGUUGUUCAGUGAGUGCGGCAGUGAUCGGCCGGUCUCGUACCGCGCUGGGUGUAAAAUUCACCUUUUCCUUUCUCAGUCUCUAUGUGUCCUUGCUACGAUGGAGACAGACAAUCAGCGUCCCGCUGAUCAGUGAUCUGUUUUAAUCACGGAAUGCAGAAGCCCGGCUCAAGAUUAACGCAACAGAUAUAAACCACAUUUAAUUUCCAUAUGAAGGAUUGAUACAAAAAAAAUCAGCGUCACUGCAAAAUCCAUGGAAAGAUGACACAUAGUAGACACGAUGGCCGCGUACUAUAUGCCGAUGUGAUCAGGAUUUGCAACUUGGAAAGUGGAGGACUAAUGUGAUCUAUCGACUGAGAUAAGAGAAACUCUCAAGUCAACUACAUUGUAUUCAAAAUUUAUUUUUAAUAAAGUACUCAGAAAUAAUAAAAUACAUAAAAUACAUAAAAUACUAAGAAAUACA